rnacentral:rRNA from 1 species
AGCGAACGCUGGCGGCAGGCUUAACACAUGCAAGUCGAGCGGGCAUAGCAAUAUGUCAGCGGCAGACGGGUGAGUAACGCGUGGGAACGUACCUUUUGGUUCGGAACAACACAGGGAAACUUGUGCUAAUACCGGAUAAGCCCUUACGGGGAAAGAUUUAUCGCCGAAAGAUCGGCCCGCGUCUGAUUAGCUAGUUGGUGAGGUAAUGGCUCACCAAGGCGACGAUCAGUAGCUGGUCUGAGAGGAUGAUCAGCCACAUUGGGACUGAGACACGGCCCAAACUCCUACGGGAGGCAGCAGUGGGGAAUAUUGGACAAUGGGCGCAAGCCUGAUCCAGCCAUGCCGCGUGAGUGAUGAAGGCCCUAGGGUUGUAAAGCUCUUUUGUGCGGGAAGAUAAUGACGGUACCGCAAGAAUAAGCCCCGGCUAACUUCGUGC